ensembl:lncRNA
UGUUGGGAAGUUUCAUUCUUUAGUCAACAGAGCUAUCCGACAUCCAAAGUCUGAUUGAUUUUAUUCCCGUUUGAGUGUAAAGUCCCAAAGGAGCCUGUAAUUAGCAUGCAAAGGUUGUGGCAUUUUACAACUAAUUUCAAAUUAUAGAGCAAACACAGUAUGACACAAUUCAGAGCCCUGUGUUUAAACAAACCAGCAUUUUGGAUUAUAAUUGCAGAACAAGAAAAGGAAGAGGAUGUUGUAAUUCCCACUUAAGCAACUAUAUUUUCCGCUAACAAAAACUGAUUUGCCUUUCACUGGAGAUCUGGAAAACACCCCACGCCCAUGAGGGACAUCAAGUCAACACGUCUAUCGGUCAAAACAUGUUAUGCAGUAGCUAAAUGGCUUGACUAACCAUUCUCAGCUACUAGGAAAGAGGUUGUAAAUAUGUACAUGCUUUUUGUCUUUUUUUCCCCAUCACAAUGUAAAACUUCAGAUGAAGGUGCAAAUAAGUUACAUUUUCUGUUAUAUAUCUCUCACUGUAAAUGUCUUAAUAGACUUGGUCCAGCUGAUUGUGUUAUGUUAAAGACUGGGUUGAAAGAUGGCUUAGUCACUGUAGUUUUGGUCUAACGUGAGCCAGUCUUGCAUUGUGUGCAAAAUACCAGCCGGACCCCUAAACCUACAUGGCUGAAGUCAUGAUUGGGCAGUAAAAGUUGGACAGGAAGGAAGCAAUGUCUGAAAUGGCAUCUCUUUUCUUGUUUAAAGCUUAUUGCACCACCACCCACUGCUGAUAUGAUCUUAGCUGUUAGAAAGCACUCUUGAGCCACUGGUUUGACUGGAGGCUUGACAAUUGUAAAAUAGGUACAGCCCAAGAGAAGAUGGAACACUUUUGCCUGACAUUUUGACCUGACAGCAGGUCUGUCUAUAGUGGCCUCCUCAGUGGAUUAUGACUUUAAUUAAAGGGAUUGUUCACUCAAAAAUAAAAAUU